UACGUAGGGUGCAAGCGUUGUCCGGAUUUAUUGGGCGUAAAGAGCUCGUAGGCGGUCAGUCGCGUCGGAUGUGAAAACCCGGAGCUUAACUCCGGGCCUGCAUUCGAUACGGGCUGACUAGAGUGUUGUAGGGGAGACUGGAACUCCUGGUGUAGCGGUGAAAUGCGCAGAUAUCAGGAGGAACACCAAUUGCGAAGGCAGCUCGCUGGGACGUUACUGACGCUGAGACGCGAAAGCGUGGGGAGCAAGCAGG
rnacentral:rRNA from 1 species